GAUCCUGGCUCAGGAUGAACGCUGGCGGCGUGCUUAACACAUGCAAGUCGAGCGAAGCACUUUACUUGGAUUUCUUCGGAAUGACGAGUAUUGUGACUGAGCGGCGGACGGGUGAGGUAACGCGUGGGUAACCUGCCUCAUACAGGGGGAUAACAGUUAGAAAUGACUGCUAAUACCGCAUAAGACCACAGCACCGCAUGGUGCAGGGGUAAAAACUCCGGUGGUAUGAGAUGGACCCGCG
rnacentral:rRNA from 1 species